rnacentral:rRNA from 1 species
GCACUGGCGCUGCUACACUGCAGUCGAGCGAAUGGAUUGAGAGCUUGCUCUCAUGAAGUUAGCGGCGGACGGGUGAGUAACACGUGGGUAACCUGCCCAUAAGACUGGGAUAACUCCGGGAAACCGGGGCUAAUACCGGAUAACAUUUUGAACUGCAUGGAUCGAAAUUGAAAGGCGGCUUCGGCUGUCACUUAUGGAUGGACCCGCGUCGCAUUAGCUAGUUGGUGAGGUAACGGCUCACCAAGGCAACGAUGCGUAGCCGACCUGAGAGGGUGAUCGGCCACACUGAGACUGAGACACGGCCCAGACUCCUACGGGAGGCAGCAGUAGGGAAUCUUCCGCAAUGGACGAAAGUCUGACGGAGCAACGCCGCGUGAGUGAUGAAGGCUUUCGGGUCGUAAAACUCUGUUGUUAGGGAAGAACAAGUGCUACUUGAAUAAGCUGGCACCUUGACGGUACCUAACCAGAAAGCCACGGCUAACUACGUGCCAGCAGCCGCGGUAAUACGUACGUGGCAAGCGUUAUCCGGAAUUAUUGGGCGUAAAGCGCGCGCAGGUGGUUUCUUAAGUCUGAUGUGAAAUCCCACGGCUCAACCGUGGAGGGUCAUUGGAAACUGGGAGACUUGAGUGCAGAAGAGGAAAGUGGAAUUCCAUGUGUAGCGGUGAAAUGCGUAAAGAUAUGGAGGAACACCAGUGGCGAACGCGACUAUCUGGUCUGUAACUGACACUGAGGCGCGAAAGCGUGGGGAGCAAACAGGAUUAGAUACCCUGGUAGUCCACGCCGUAAACGAUGAGUGCUAACUGUUAAAGGGUUUCCGCCCUUUAUUGCUGAAGUUAACGCAUUACUCACUCCGCCUGGGGAAUACGGCCGCAAGGCUGAAACUCAAAGGAAUUGACGGGGGCC